GAUGAACGCUGGCGGCGUGCUUAACACAUGCAAGUCGAACGAAGCACUUUAUUAUGAUUUCUUCGGAAUGACGAUUUAGUGACUGAGUGGCGGACGGGUGAGUAACGCGUGGGUAACCUGCCUUAUACAGGGGGAUAACAGUUAGAAAUGACUGCUAAUACCGCAUAAGCGCACAGCAUCGCAUGAUGCAGUGUGAAAAACUCCGGUGGUACAGGAUGGACCCGCGUCUGAUUAGCUAGUUGGUGAGGUAACGGCUUACCAAGGCAACGAUCAGUAGCCGACUUGAGAGAGUGAUCGGCCACAUUGGGACUGAGACACGGCCCAAACUCCUACGGGGAGGCAGCAGUGGGGAAUAUUGCACAAUGGGGGAAACCCUGAUGCAGCGACGCCGCGUGAAGGAAGAAGUAUUUCGGUAUGUAAACUUCUAUCAGCAAGGAGGAAAAUGACGGUACUUGACUAAGAAGCCCCGGCUAAAUACGUGCCAG
rnacentral:rRNA from 1 species